rnacentral:lncRNA from 1 species
UGUAUACCCAACACAUUUCUUAAUGGACAUGCAUGCAAUUAUAAUCUAAUUGGGACACGACUAACAAGCUGAUUUACAUGAGCAUGCUCAUGUAUGUUUUCACAACCUGGCCCUUGUCUUGCAGAUCCUCGAAACGAGCCAAGAACCAUUAAAUGUUUUCACAACCUGGCCCUUGUCAUGUAUGUUUUACAGAUCCUCAAAACAAGCUUAGACUUUGUUUGUUAUGCAAGAUCUCUUCAUGUGUCAUAAUGAUACAAACACGAGGUACAUAAUUUAGGCAUUUACAAUUAUAAUUAAGUGAUAAUUUGGCAGAACAACAUGGUGUGGUGUUUAUUCGAGAAGGAUGCACUAUUUUGUCAAGUGUGGUGUUUAUUCGAGAAGGCAACAAAGAGGUAUGGCAGGACUGCUUUGUUGCACAUGUUCGAAAGUUGUGUCUUACCUGCUUUAAAUAUAGUAGUUGAGACUUCUGGGGGCAUGCCGUUUCAUCUCGAGCUUUCUUAACUAAUAGAGAAAUGAAAUAACUUAUCAAAGCCUUUUUGUACGGUUUUUCUUUUCACUUCCAAAACAUUUUCGCAAAUUGGAACUUCAUAGCCAGUUUCCAAAUUCAAAGAAAUCACCUACCAUGGCCUUGUUCCUUUUCUUAAACUUCUCAUUCUGCAUCUUAAACAGCCAAACUCCCAGCCAUUUCAAUGUCAAGCUCGCUGAGCAACUUAAAAUCACAAUUCAUAGCAAAUAUAUGAACAACUAACUAUGCUUUAUAUUUUUGAUAGGUGUUCUAGAACUAGAAGCAUUUCCUUAGUUCAAACCUUGUAUCACGAAUUUACAUGCUACCCUCUUUUGAUGUACUUCAACAAGAAAAAAAGGGCAACCUGGUGCAUGUAGCUCCCGCUUGCGCAGGGUCCAGGGAAGGGUCCGACCACUUUGGGUCUAUAGUACGCAGCCUUUCCCUACAUUUCUGUAAGAGGCUGUUUCCAGGACUUGAACCCAUGACCUCAUGGUCACAAGGCAGCAGCUUUACCACUGCGCCAAGGCUCCCCUUCGAUGUACUUCAACAAGCUUAUCAACAAAUAUAUACCAGAUGCUACAUUGGCAUGUUAUUAUUUUGUUAGUGUAGUCACAUGAACUUCAUAUGAUUUAGCUGCAUUGUCAUAUAUUUAUUCACAAGAUCUGCUCGUCUAUAUCUGUCAAGACUGGAAACCUUGAGACGGUGAUCAAACAUUUGGUUGAAGGAAUCAGCAAACAGAUGUUUUCGAGGUACACCUAUGAUCUAUGUGUCAACUCUCAAAUGUCUAGUACUGCAAAACUGUUGUAUGGCCAUGAUGGUGCUUUAUUUAUUUUUCUGUCUUUUGUGUAUACAGACCAAUACUUCGUUCUUAUUUUCAGUUACUUGCAAUCUUGCAUGUUAUUGCUGGCAUGAGUUUUGUAUGUCCAUGACUGUUGUGAUACUGUUAAUAUGAUGCAGAUUUGUGUUCUUGUGUAUGCUGCAAUAUUUUUGAUAUUUUAGAGAAGUGCUAAAUUUGUGACCAUUAUUUUGAGCAUCAUGUUGUGAGCUCUGAUGUUCCUCUCAAGACUUGGAUCGGCAACCUGAUGCAAGUGCUCAAGGGAUAUCUGGAGCAUGUACUUCUCAAGGCGAUGUGAUGCAUGUGUAGUUAAUUACCAUGUUGAUUGGAAGUGUUUCGAUCUAGCAACAGUAGCUGAUAUGUGGCCUUGUCUAUAGCAGGUUGUAGAUUAAACUUGCAGUGUAUAGACCAUUUUGCAACUUAAGCUAGCUUUUUUGGAUCGAUGGGUGGUAUGAAUAUGUUGUAUGAUGAUGAAUAUUCGGUCAUCUAUGAAUUAUUUGAAUUAUGGCUGAUAUAUAUAUAUCCAAAUUUGGUGUAUUGUUGCUU